rnacentral:rRNA from 1 species
AUUGAACGCUGGCGGCAGGCCUAACACAUGCAAGUCGAGCGGAUGAAGGGAGCUUGCUCCUGGAUUCAGCGGCGGACGGGUGAGUAAUGCCUAGGAAUCUGCCUGGUAGUGGGGGAUAACGUCCGGAAACGGGCGCUAAUACUGCAUACGUCCUGAGGGAGAAAGUGGGGGAUCUUCGGACCUCACGCUAUCAGAUGAGUCUAGGUCGGAUUAGCUAGGUGGUGGGGUAAAGGCCUACCAAGGCGACGAUCCGUAACUGGUCUGAGAGGAUGAUCAGUCACACUGGAACUGAGACACGGUCCAGACUCCUACGGGAGGCAGCAGUGGGGAAUAUUGGACAAUGGGCGAAAGCCUGAUCCAGCCAUGCCGCGUGUGUGAAGAAGGUCUUCGGAUUGUAAAGCACUUUAAGUUGGGAGGAAGGGCAGUAAGUUAAUACCUUGCUGUUUUGACGUUACCAACAGAAUAAGCACCGGCUAACUUCGUG